rnacentral:rRNA from 1 species
GACGAACGCUGGCGGCGUGCCUAAUACAUGCAAGUAGAACGCUGAAGGAGGAGCUUGCUCUUCUGGAUGAGUUGCGAACGGGUGAGUAACGCGUAGGUAACCUGCCUGGUAGCGGGGGAUAACUAUUGGAAACGAUAGCUAAUACCGCAUAACAGUAGAUGUUGCAUGACAUUUACUUAAAAGGUGCAAUUGCAUCACUACCAGAUGGACCUGCGUUGUAUUAGCUAGUUGGUGGGGUAACGGCUCACCAAGGCGACGAUACAUAGCCGACCUGAGAGGGUGGUCGGCCCCACUUGGAAUGGGACACCGCCCAGACCCCUUCCGGGAGGAGCAGGAGGGAAUCUUCGGCCAAGGACGGAAGGUCGACCGGGCAAACGCGCGUGAGUGAAGGAGGUUUUCGGAUUCUAAAACCUUUUUGUUAGGGAAGAACCGGGUGGGGGGGGGAAAGUUCCCACUGGGGCCGGUAUUUACCAGAAAGGGACCGCUAACUUCGUU